CGAGUGAAGUGGGAAAAGCUCAACUUUAAAAUCUGGCAGUUUCACUGUCCGAGUUGUAGUCUCGAGAAGCGUUUUCCGUGUUGAAGCAUGCAUGAGUCUGUUGGAAUACAGCGUCAUAGAGGGUGAGAACCCCGUUCGUGGUAUGCCUUUCAAUACUUUGUGAUACGUUUUCGAUGAGUCGAGUUGUUUGGGAAUGCAGCUCAAAAUGGGUGGUAAAUUCCAUCUAAAGCUAAAUAUUGGCGGGAGACCGAUAGCAAACAAGUACCGUGAGGGAAAGAUGAAAAGCACUUUGGAAAGAGAGUUAAAAGUACGUGAAAUUGUCGAAAGGGAAACGCUUGAAGUCGGACGUGCAGGGCAACUUGCAGGCCAACAUCGGUUUCAUUAGCCGGAUAAAGGCAGAGGAAUGUGGCAGCUCCGGCUGUGUUAUAGCCUUUGACUGAAUACGGAUAGAGAGACCGAGGACCGCAGCUUACGCUUAGGAUGUUGGUGGAACGGCUUUAAACGACCCGG
rnacentral:rRNA from 1 species